rnacentral:rRNA from 1 species
AGCGAACGUUAGCGGCGCGCCUAACACAUGCAAGUCGCACGAGAAAGGGCUUCGGCCCCGGUAAAGUGGCGCACGGGUGCGUAACACGUAGGCAAUCUACCCUAAGGCGGGGGAUAACGUUCCGAAAGGAACGCUAAUACCGCAUGAGACCACGGACCCUUCGGGGACUGCGGUCAAAGCCGGCCUCUUCAUGAAAGCUGGCACCUUAGGACGAGCCUGCGGCCCAUCAUUGCUAGUUGGGAGGUAAUGGCUCACCAAGGCUAAGACGGGUAGCUGGUCUGAGAGGAUGAUCAGCCACACUGGAACUGAAACACGGUCCAGACUCCUACGGGAGGCAGCAGUGGGGAAUAUUGGACAAUGGGCGCAAGCCUGAUCCAGCGACGCCGCGUGAGUGAUGAAGG